rnacentral:lncRNA from 10 species
CGGGGUGACAUCACAUGUCGGCAGGUUCCGUGAUGCCCACCUGAGCUGCAAAACCAGCAAGUUUUUAUUAGGGAUUUCAAAAGGGGAGGGGGGUAUGAAUAGGGAGUGGGUUACAGAGAUCACAUGCUUCAAAUGGCAAUAAAAGAUCACAAGGGCAGAAGGGCAGAGCAAGGUCACAAGGCCAGGGUGAAAUUAGAAUUACCAGUGAGGUUCCAUGUCCUGCUGUGCAUGCAUUGUCAUUGGUAAACAUCUUAACAGGAAACAGGGUUCAAGAGCAGAGAACCGGUCUGACUAGAAUUCUCCAGGCUGGAAUUUCCUAAUCCUAGCAAGCCUGAGGGCAGUGCAGGAGACCAGGGCAUAUUUCAUCCCCUAUCUUCAACUGCAUAAGGCAGACACCCCCAGAGUGGCCGUCCAUAGGCCUCCCCUAGGAAUGCAUUCCGUUCCCAGGGUUAUUCCUCACUGGGGAAAGAAUUCAGCGAUAUUUUUCCUACUCGUUUUUUGCAAUAAGAAAAAUAUGACUGUUCUGUCCAGCCCCACAGGCAGUCAGACCUUAUGGUUAUCUCCCUUGCCCUGAACAUUGCUGUUAUCCUGUUCUUUUUCAGGGUGCCCAGACUUCAUAUUGUUCAAACACACGUUUUACAAUUUGUGGAGUUAACACAGUCAUUACAGGGUCCUGAGGCAACAUACAUCCUCAGUUUACAAAGAUGACGGGAUUAAGAGAUUAAAGUAAAGACAGGCAUAGGAAGUUGUAAGAGUAUUGAUCGGGGAAGUGAUAAAUGUCCAUGAAAUCACAAUUUAUGUUCUGCCGUGGCUUCAGCCGGUCCCUCUGUUCAGGGUCCCUGACUUCCUGCAACACUCUGAACUCUACUGAUACACAAAGUAGUUAAUGAUAAAUGCAUUUAUGCUCACCUGAGACAAAGGAGGAAAAAAAAAUUGGUCAAAUUGAUAGAAAAUGAAACCUUACGUACAAAGUCCCUGGAGACCACAGAAACCGAAAGGAUCAAGUGGCCUGGGCUCUCCAGUGGAGUGGUGAGGGAACCCAAAGGCAGUAGUGGGAAGUGGGGCGACUGGAAUGAGCUUCUGAAGGAACGGCCAUCAGUUAUGACAGAUCUGGUCAAUUCAUUGUAUCUCGUGAACACUGCCGAGAGCAGCUCCUUGGUGCCUAGGCCGCGCUAAGGGGAGUGCACCCAAGGGGAACAGACCCGAGGGAGGGUGCGGGUAGGUGGGAAGCGGAGCUAUGAGAGGAGACCCGUGGGAGCCGCCAUCCCGUGUGCCCCCUCCUCUGCGGGCAGAAAGUCCGCGUGGGCGGCCCUGUCGCCGGGGCCUCCCUCCUUGCCUGCACCCCUGCUUAUCAGAGGGGCCCCCGGGGGCAGGGGCGAGCCCUUUCCUCCUGGCUGCGACCCAGCCCCUGCGGCUGACCUGGGACGCCAGAGCCUCAGGGUGCAGCACUGGGUUGUGAGCCCCAGACCCACACCCCUCUUGUUUUGGGAAAACUGAAUAAAACCCCAGCGCCAGGGACCUGAUGGGGACGGAGUUUCCCCAGAGACGGCCAGACGGACUUGGCGCCGCUCGGUCUUCAGAAGCUGCUGCGUCUCCCGGGCCUGCAGGUGUCCGCCACGCCCUUGAUGGUGUGGAAGGCGCCUCUGUGCGCGGGGUCCCCGGGCCUUCUCACAGCACCGCCUCCCACCGCGGAUCCAGCCGCUCUCCACGCUUGGGGAAGGGAGGCAUCGGGUCCAGCCCGCUUGGGAUCCAGCUCCCGGCCUGGAGGGCGAGACACAACGUUUUCAACGCUGCAGAGCGUCAGGGGCUAGGCCCAGAGCAGGCAGCGGUGGUCCAGGGGCGUCUCCUCGGCCGGUGAAGAUGCUGGUCCCACCUACACGAGACUGGGUCACUGCGGACUGAGCCCAGCC